rnacentral:lncRNA from 1 species
ACUGUUUGUGUCACCCCGGCUCAGAGAAAACCGGAAUGCCCCGUAUUCCAGCCCAGAGAUCGAGAAGUCUUCUGGAAUACGGCACUGCUCAGCAUAGAACAAACCAGCUUUCUAUUAUUACACGAAUAUGAAUACAAGGUCUCCGAUAUUACAAUAAAUAACCUCGGUACGGCGACACUACGCCUGCCACUGUUGUUCUAUGCAAGCAGCAGAACAACUCGAUGCAGCGGAAGAACUCUAGCAGCGGAACAACGACGACGAUGGUGAACUCCACUCCGCAGGGACUCUGGCUGCAAUGCUUAUCCUAGCUCGCACGAACAGAAACCACGACAAGCAAGCAAUCAAAUCCGGCAUGACCUGCAAACUGGCUUGACACGCCAGGUCAGUACAUUGAAUGUACUUGCAAGCUCACAAUAAACCAGAAGCAUUCAAGGCAGACAACAUCAUGGCAAUUACAGGUUAGGCAGAAUUUAACAUGAUAUCAUCAGAACAAUAUAGCAUGAACAACUUGAACAUGAUACACUUAACACAACAUGAACAUGGCAUGAACAUAUUAAUACGACAACACUAUCAUGCAACAUGAUGUCACUAGAUGCACCACUUAUUCUGCUCGGGCUACCUUGUAACCAUCACAUGCAUCACUUACCGACCUCGGACAUCACACAAUCAUCUUAGGAUCAAAUCAAGCUUGGUAUAAACAAUACCGUAGUAAUCAUUAAAUGACCACAAGGAGCUUGAUCUUUACUCGCACAACAUCAUGAAUAUACAACAACUCGGUAUCCUCGAUACCACCGUGGUCCUUGCGGCGAUCACAACCCGACCAACACUUGGCCCGUGAUCCUUACAGCGAUCACAACCCGACCUACACUUGGACCGUGAUCCUUACGGCGAUCACAACCCGACCAACACUUGGCCCGUGAUCCUUACGGUGAUCACAACCCGACUACUAAAUGGUCCGUGAUCCUUACGGCGAUCACAACCAACUUAUCUCAUUGUUAUUAAGCACAUUAUUCUUAUUACUGUUGACCUAUGGGGUGACCUACUUUCGACCUGGGCCCUUAUCCGCGGGCGCGGCUAUCGAUAGAUUUAAUAUACACUCUGCAGAGGUUAGUACAUUGUACCCACACUACGGAACCCAUGGCCUCGCACUCCCAUUCGGGUGGACCAACGGUGUUCCGACAAAACCGAUCUACUGCCAUGACACUCUCCCGGCCACUCCGACCAACUCCCCUCUGGGCUAAGUAAUGGGUGGCCCCGUGUCUACCUCAAGACACAACGACCACCGUCGUGGCCCGUCCCACUCUGGGACCCGGAUCCAAAAACUAACUCAACAACGGGCACACAAGGCUUAUGUCCGCCUACCUGAUCAGGGUAGCGCGUGCCCAUAACCUUCCCUUGUUGGAGGCACCGGCGAGAGGCACGAUAAUAGACCCAGUUAGGACCGUCCCAUACCGGUAAGCGUGGUUGCACUGGUCAGCAUCGAUUCAGUGGCACCAUGACUCAGCCAACAGUUGUUCAAGUUCAAUUUAAUCCGGUUAACUUGAAUGCAAAUAUACUGAGCCAUGAUAAAAUACAUGAACAUGAUAUCAACAUAAUCAUGAGGGUAUCGCAUAACUAUCCACCAUAUCAAUAAUAAAUCAUAUCCACUUAGCAUGGCAUAUUGACUAGCAUGACCAUCACCAACAUCAACAUGUACCACUAGCAAUCAUAAACAUAUGAAAGGAGAUACUAGCAGGUAGAACAUGAUAAUAGAGUACAAGACAACAUAGCACAAAAGUGAACAUGCAACUCUAAACAUUACCAGAACAGCGAUAACCAUCUUUUCAACAAGCAAACAUUUAGUAAAGAUUCAAGUUGAAAACCAUGGCUACUGCAUGAAUAUCAUGCAAUUGGGUAUUGUGGCUUGCCUGGGAUGAAGAGGCACCGGGGAGAAGUGCGGUGAAGCCGCGGAAAGAUUUGCCGGAAACAGUUCUCUCUCGGAGGGGGCUGUUUACGUGCAUGGACAAAAAGGUCAUUUUCACAGUGUCAAACCAUAGUGAAAAUGAAACCAACAGAAAGAGCUCGACGAUACGAAGAAGUGAGCGUUGGAUUCACCUUAAACGGAGUUACGGUUGCGGAGUUAUGAGAUGUAGAAGAUCAGGGACCAAUCUGUGAAUAUUUUCAUCACCAACGGGUCCCUGGGAGGAAAAACUAAAGCGCAUAGGGAUAAAUGCGUUUUCUGAAAGUGAAAAGGUAUUCCGAACCGAAGUAGAAGGAAAUUACGUUUUCACAAAAGAAAAUCGUACCCUGGUUAAACCCGUCUCCACUUAUCCACGUGGGCUGAGGCGCCUGGGACACUGGCGCGUGGGACCCAGGGGCAGGGGGAGGGGGCCAGCGAGGUCGUCCUCUUCCUCCCGCGCCUCUAUUCCUCCCGUGGAACAGAGCGGGGCAGGGGAAGGAAGCGAC